GACAGGGAAACAGACAGAAUCAUAGAAUCAUAGAAUGGCUUGGCUUGGAAGGAAACUUAAAAGAUCAUCUAACACCAAAACCCCUGACAUAGACAGGGAUGUCACCCACUAGAUCAAGUUUGCCAAGGCCCCAUCUAACCUGGCCUUGAACACUUCCAGGGAUGGGGAUUC